rnacentral:rRNA from 1 species
GUAGGUGGCAAGCGUUGUCCGGAAUUAUUGGGCGUGAAGCGCGCGCAGGUGGUUCUUUAAGUCUGAUGUGAAAGCCCCCGGCUCAACCGGGGAGGGUCAUUGGAAACUGGGGAACUUGAGUGCAGGAGAGGAAAGUGGAAUUCCACGUGUAGCGGUGAAAUGCGUAGAUAUGUGGAGGAGCACCAGUGGCGAAGGCGACUUUCUGGCCUGUAACUGACACUGAGGCGCGAAAGCGUGGGGGAGCAAACAGGAUUAGAUACCCUGGUAGUCCACGCCGUAAACGAUGAGUGCUAAGUGUUGGGGGGUUUUCUGCCCCCCCCCUCAGUGCUGCAGCUAACGCAUUAAGCACUCCGCCUGGGAGUACGGUCGCAAGACUG